rnacentral:lncRNA from 1 species
UUGAUGAUGUUGUUGACUUUAUAGACAUGGUUUGGAGGGGACAAAAAAUAAUUUCUAGGAAGUUUCUAUGAAAUUUAGUGUAAGCUUUGUUGAAAGUGAAAGUGAAAGUGAAGAGUGAGAGUGAGUAGUGUCGAUGGACUUUCCGGGUAGUUAGGUUGUGGAAUUAAUGAGUUCUAUGUAAAUUAAAUUAAUUGUUUAAUUAGUGGUUACAAAGGGAGUCAUAAGUUACAUAAUUUUAAAAUUUAGAACUAUUUAAAUAGUGAUAUGAGAGCGACCUAAUGAGAUUAAUAUAUUACAAAGAUCCAGAAUCGCGGACUACAUAUAUUAUUUAUUUCAACUACUUAUAAAUAGGUUGGGUUUUUUC